rnacentral:rRNA from 1 species
UAGGGAAUAUUGCACAAUGGGGGAAACCCUGAUGCAGCGACGUCGCGUGAAGGAAGAAGUAUCUCGGUAUGUAAACUUCUAUCAGCAGGGAAGACAAUGACGGUACCUGACUAAGAAGCUCCGGCUAAAUACGUGCCAGCAGCCGCGGUAAUACGUAUGGAGCAAGCGUUAUCCGGAUUUACUGGGUGUAAAGGGAGCGUAGGCGGUAAGGCAAGUCUGAUGUGAAAAGCCCAGGGCUCAACCCCUGGGACUGCAUUGGAAACUGUUUAACUGGAGUGUCGGAGAGGCAAGUGGAAUUCCUAGUGUAGCGGUGAAAUGCGUAGAUAUUAGGAGGAACACCAGUGGCGAAGGCGGCUUGCUGGACGAUGACUGACGCUGAGGCUCGAAAGCGUGGGGAGCAAACAGGAUUAGAUACCC